rnacentral:sRNA from 1 species
GCCAGGCGUGGUGGCGCACACCUGUAAUUCCAGAGGCUUGGGAGGCUGAGGCAGGAGGAUCAUGAGUUCAAAACCACCUUCAGCAACUUAUUGAGGCAUUAAGCAACUCAGUGAGGCCCUGUCUCUA